UACGGAAGGCAGCAGUGGGGAAUAUUGCACAAUGGGCGCAAGCCUGAUGCAGCCAUGCCGCGUGUAUGAAAAAGGCCUUCGGGUUGUAAAGUACUUUCAGUCGUGAGGAAGGUGUUAAGGUUAAUAACCUUAGCAAUUGACGUUAGCGACAGAAGAAGCACCGGCUAACUCCGUGCCAGCAGCCGCGGUAAUACGGAGGGUGCGAGCGUUAAUCGGAAUUACUGGGCGUAAAGGGCACGCAGGCGGUUAAUUAAGUUGGAUGUGAAAUCCCCGGGCUUAACCUGGGAAUGGCAUUCAAGACUGGUUAGCUAGAGUCUUGUAGAGGGGGUAGAAUUCCAUGUGUAGCGGUGAAAUGCGUAGAGAUGUGGAGGAUACCGGUGGCGAAGGCGGCCCCUGGGACAAAGGACUGACGCUCAUGUGCGAAAGCGUGGGGAGCAAACG
rnacentral:rRNA from 1 species